AGGAUCAUUACCGAGUGAGGGCCCUCUGGGUCCAACCUCCCACCCGUGUUUAUUUUACCUUGUUGCUUCGGCGAGCCUGCCUUUUGGCUGCCGGGGGACAUCUGUCCCCGGGUCCGCGCUCGCCGAAGACACCUUAGAACUCUGUCUGAAGAUUGUAGUCUGAGAUUAAAUAUAAAUUAUUUAAAACUUUCAACAACGGAUCUCUUGGUUCCGGCAUCGAUGAAGAACGCAGCGAAAUGCGAUACGUAAUGUGAAUUGCAGAAUUCAGUGAAUCAUCGAGUCUUUGAACGCACAUUGCGCCCUCUGGUAUUCCGGAGGGCAUGCCUGUCCGAGCGUCAUUGCUGCCCUCAAGCACGGCUUGUGUGUUGGGCUCCGUCCUCCUUCCGGGGGACGGGCCCGAAAGGCAGCGGCGGCACCGCGUCCGGUCCUCAAGCGUAUGGGGCUUUGUCACCCGCUUUGUAGGACUGGCCGGCGCCUGCCGAUCAACCAAACUUUUUUCCAGGUUGACCUCGGAUCAGGUAGGGAUACCCGCUGAACUUAAGCAUAUCAAUAAGCGGAGGAAAAGAAACCAACAGGGAUUGCCCCAGUAACGGCGAGUGAAGCGGCAAGAGCUCAAAUUUGAAAGCUGGCUCCUUCGGGGUCCGCAUUGUAAUUUGCAGAGGAUGCUUCGGGAGCGGUCCCCAUCUAAGUGCCCUGGAACGGGACGUCAUAGAGGGUGAGAAUCCCGUAUGGGAUGGGGUGUCCGCGCCCGUGUGAAGCUCCUUCGACGAGUCGAGUUGUUUGGGAAUGCAGCUCUAAAUGGGUGGUAAAUUUCAUCUAAAGCUAAAUAUUGGCCGGAGACCGAUAGCGCACAAGUAGAGUGAUCGAAAGAUGAAAAGCACUUUGAAAAGAGAGUUAAAAAGCACGUGAAAUUGUUGAAAGGGAAGCGCUUGCGACCAGACUCGCUCGCGGGGUUCAGCCGGCAUUCGUGCCGGUGUACUUCCCCGCGAGCGGGCCAGCGUCGGUUUGGGCGGUCGGUCAAAGGCCUCUGGAAGGUAACGCCCCCUCGGGGGCGUCUUAUAGCCAGGGGUGCAAUGCGGCCUGCCCGGACCGAGGAACGCGCUCGGCUC
rnacentral:rRNA from 1 species